rnacentral:rRNA from 1 species
UGACGGGUGGAUAAUGCCUAGGAAUCUGCCUGGUAGUGGGGGAUAACGUCCGGAAACGGGCGCUAAUACCGCAUACGUCCUGAGGGAGAAAGUGGGGGAUCUUCGGACCUCACGCUAUCAGAUGAGCCUAGGUCGGAUUAGCUAGUUGGUGGGGUAAAGGCCUACCAAGGCGACGAUCCGUAACUGGUCUGAGAGGAUGAUCAGUCACACUGGAACUGAGACACGGUCCAGACUCCUACGGGAGGCAGCAGUGGGGAAUAUUGGACAAUGGGCGAAAGCCUGAUCCAGCCAUGCCGCGUGUGUGAAGAAGGUCUUCGGAUUGUAAAGCACUUUAAGUUGGGAGGAAGGGCAGUAAGUUAAUACCUUGCUGUUUUGACGUUACCAACAGAAUAAGCACCGGCUAACUUCGUGCCAGCAGCCGCGGUAAUACGAAGGGUGCAAGCGUUAAUCGGAAUUACUGGGCGUAAAGCGCGCGUAGGUGGUUCAGCAAGUUGGAUGUGAAAUCCCCGGGCUCAACCUGGGAACUGCAUCCAAAACUACUGAGCUAGAGUACGGUAGAGG